rnacentral:rRNA from 1 species
AACGAACGCUGGCGGCAUGCCUAACACAUGCAAGUCGAACGAGAUCUUCGGGUCUAGUGGCGCACGGGUGCGUAACGCGUGGGAAUCUGCCCUUUGGUUCGGAAUAACAGUUGGAAACGACUGCUAAUACCGGAUGAUGACGAAAGUCCAAAGAUUUAUCGCCAGAGGAUGAGCCCGCGAAGGAUUAGCUAGUUGGUGUGGUAAAGGCGCACCAAGGCGACGAUCCUUAGCUGGUCUGAGAGGAUGAUCAGCCACACUGGGACUGAGACACGGCCCAGACUCCUACGGGAGGCUGCAGUGGGGAAUAUUGGACAAUGGGCGAAAGCCUGAUCCAGCAAUGCCGCGUGAGUGAUGAAGGCCUUAGGGUUGUAAAGCUCUUUUACCCGGGAUGAUAAUGACAGUACCGGGAGAAUAAGCUCCGGCUAACUCCGUGCCAGCAGCCGCCGUAA